CCAGGGACGGCCUGGGGCCGGGGAGUCCCCUCCGCCUUGCGGUCCGUGAAGGCACCCGAGGCGCAGGGCCGUGCCCUGCUUGCUCUCCAGCCCUGAGGGCUUCACCGGUGAAGGACUCUUAGAAGCUCCUGGUGAUCCUCAAGUUGAUGUUGUCAGAGUCUAAAGCAGUGUUUCUCCGGAGUGGUCCCUGGACCAGUAGCAUCAGCAUCACCUGGGACCCUGUUAGAGAUGCAGCUUCUCAGACUUUGCCCAGGACCUUCUGAGUGAGAAACUGGAGGCAGAGUGGACAGUGAGAGAGACAGAAAGGUCUUCCUUUGCCAUUGGUUUACCCCCCUAUGGCCACUGCAGCCGGCGCACCAUGCUGAUCCGAAGCCAGGAGCCAGGUGUUUCUCCUGGUCUCCCAUGGGGUGCAGGGCCCAAGCACUUGGGCCAUCCUCCACUGCACUCCCUGGCCACAGCAGAGAGCUGGACAGGAAGAGGAGCGACCGGUACAGAAUCCAGCACCCCAACCGGGACUAGAACCCGGUGUGCUGGCGCCAAAGGUGGAGGAUUAGCCUAUUGAACCCCUGCCCGAGUCACAAUUUCUGCAAAUGUAUAAAGAGGUAACAGGAAGGAUGACUGUGAGAUCUGGAGACACACAGACCUGGGUUUGAAUUCCAACACAGCCAAAGCACUACUUCCUUGGCCAUGCUGGCCAAAUGCCUACUUUCUGAGCCUCUACUUUCCCAGAUUAAAGACCAUAGUUUUGGGGCCGGUGCUGUGGCACAGUGGGUUAAUGCCCUGGCCUGAAGUGCCAGCAUCCCAUAUGGGCGCCAGUUCUAGUCCCAGCUGCUCCACUUCUGAUCCAGCUCUCUGCUGUGGCCUGGGAAAGCAGUAGAAGAUGGCCCAAGUCCUUGGGCCCCUGCACCCACGUGGGAGACCUGGAAGAAGCUCCUGGCUCCUGGCUCCUGGCUUUGGAUCAGCACAGUUCCAGCCGUUGCAGCCAGUUGGGCAGUGAAUCAUCAGAUGGAAGACCUCUCUCUCUCUCUCUCUCUCUUCCUUUCCUCUCUCUGUGUAACUCUGACUUUCAAAUAAAUA